CGGGAUGUAGCUCAGGUGGUAGAGUGCACGUCUGGGGGGCGUGAGGUCGCAAGUUCAAGUCUUGUCAUCCCGA
rnacentral:tRNA from 1 species